GCUUCUUCAAAGAGACUGCUUUUUGUGUUAGCAGUAGCUCUAAAAUGUAAGAGCUCACUUCUGCCUUCUGCCCUUCUGUCUGACCUUCGCCAGAUGCUGAUGCCAUACUCUUGGACUUCCUAGCUCCAGAGCCAUGAGCCAAAUAAACUUCUGUUCAUUGUAAACUA